GGCUCAGAUUGAACGCUGGCGGCAGGCUUAACACAUGCAAGUCGAACGAUGAUUAUCUAGCUUGCUAGAUAUGAUUAGUGGCGGACGGGUGAGUAACAUUUAGGAAUCUGCCUAGUAGUGGGGGAUAGCUCGGGGAAACUCGAAUUAAUACCGCAUACGACCUACGGGUGAAAGGGGGCGCAAGCUCUUGCUAUUAGAUGAGCCUAAAUCAGAUUAGCUAGUUGGUGGGGUAAAGGCCCACCAAGGCGACGAUCUGUAACUGGUCUGAGAGGAUGAUCAGUCACACCGGAACUGAGACACGGUCCGGACUCCUACGGGAGGCAGCAGUGGGGAAUAUUGGACAAUGGGGGCAACCCUGAUCCAGCCAUGCCGCGUGUGUGAAGAAGGCCUUUUGGUUGUAAAGCACUUUAAGCAGGGAGGAGAGGCUAAUGGUUAAUACCCAUUAGAUUAGACGUUACCUGCAGAAUAAGCACCGGCUAACUCUGUGCCAGCAGCCGCGGUAAUACAGAGGGUGCGAGCGUUAAUCGGAAUUACUGGGCGUAAAGCGAGUGUAGGUGGCUCAUUAAGUCACAUGUGAAAUCCCCGGGCUUAACCUGGGAACUGCAUGUGAUACUGGUGGUGCUAGAAUAUGUGAGAGGGAAGUAGAAUUCCAGGUGUAGCGGUGAAAUGCGUAGAGAUCUGGAGGAAUACCGAUGGCGAAGGCAGCUUCCUGGCAUAAUAUUGACACUGAGAUUCGAAAGCGUGGGUAGCAAACAGGAUUAGAUACCCUGGUAGUCCACGCCGUAAACGAUGUCUACUAGCCGUUGGGGUCCUUGAGACUUUAGUGGCGCAGUUAACGCGAUAAGUAGACCGCCUGGGGAGUACGGCCGCAAGGUUAAAACUCAAAUGAAUUGACGGGGGCCCGCACAAGCGGUGGAGCAUGUGGUUUAAUUCGAUGCAACGCGAAGAACCUUACCUGGUCUUGACAUAGUGAGAAUCUUUCAGAGAUGAGAGAGUGCCUUCGGGAAUUCACAUACAGGUGCUGCAUGGCUGUCGUCAGCUCGUGUCGUGAGAUGUUGGGUUAAGUCCCGCAACGAGCGCAACCCUUUUCCUUAUUUGCCAGCGGGUUAAGCCGGGAACUUUAAGGAUACUGCCAGUGACAAACUGGAGGAAGGCGGGGACGACGUCAAGUCAUCAUGGCCCUUACGACCAGGGCUACACACGUGCUACAAUGGUAGGUACAGAGGGUUGCUACACAGCGAUGUGAUGCUAAUCUCAAAAAGCCUAUCGUAGUCCGGAUUGGAGUCUGCAACUCGACUCCAUGAAGUCGGAAUCGCUAGUAAUCGCAGAUCAGAAUGCUGCGGUGAAUACGUUCCCGGGCCUUGUACACACCGCCCGUCACACCAUGGGAGUCUAUUGCACCAGAAGUAGGUAGCCUAACGAA
rnacentral:rRNA from 1 species